AAGGUGGGCAUUAUGAUUGAAGUGAUUAA
rnacentral:piRNA from 1 species